UACGUAGGGCGCAAGCGUUGUCCGGAUUUAUUGGGCGUAAAGAGCGUGUAGGCGGUUAUGCAGGUCCGCUGUGAAAACUGGAGGCUUAACCUCCAGACGUCGGUGGAAACCGUAUGACUAGAGUCCGGAAGAGGAGAGUGGAAUUCCUGGUGUAGCGGUGAAAUGCGCAGAUAUCAGGAAGAACACCCGUGGCGAAGGCGGCUCUCUGGGACGGUACUGACGCUGAGACGCGAAAGCGUGGGGAGCGAACAGG
rnacentral:rRNA from 1 species